GUCAUGGCUCAAGGGCAGAACAUCUUCUUGGCAUGCAGAAGGGCCUGGAUUCAAUCCCCAGCAUCUCCA